UCGUACACGUAGAGAUAGACGCAGCCGCAGCUGCGCUGAGAGGCAGGGUCUUGUCUCGGCAUCCAGCCGCCCGAGCUCUGACCUGGUCUGGUGAGCUGAUGUGAGCAGUCACACUGACAAGGGUGAAAGAAGAAUGCAUCCUCAGGUUUUGGUAGCAGGGUUAUACUGACCUCAUUAAAUGAAUUGGAGAAGCAUUCCCCCCUCUUGUAUUUCCUGGAGGAGUUUGUGGGAAUACAAAAAGUGUACUUUGAACAGCCACUAUUGGAGACAAGAAAGCCACUUCUCAAGACAUUUAAUCUCAGCUUGUUUGCUGUGUUUUGGCUACAUACCGUCAACCAGAUUGAAAGCUUCUCAAGGACUGUGGGGGCAGCGCAGAUACAGACCAUUUCUGUCCCUGUGGAACAUUCUAUUGGACAGCAAGAACCAGAUUGAAAUAGCUCCACCCCACCAUCACCCCAAAACUUCAUCACUAGGAAAUGUUAAAGGAUGAGAACAGAAUGUGGGAAACACCCAGGCCAUUGUGGUACAGAGAUGAUAGUGGCAUUUUGGGCUGGACUACUUUUCAUUUCAUGGGAUCAUUUUGAGGAAAUGUACAUUCAUAAAGGAACUUUCCAUUUGUUAAAACGUCUCCAUUUUUGGAAGAGAUCUACACCCUGGAGGCAACUCUUAUCACCUGGGAGACUCUCACCUGCAUAGCAAGACAGUUCUAUUUACCAAACCUUUCCUCCCUUUAACUUCCCAUGACUUGCCUCCCCCUCUCAGAAGCCCCAAACCCAUUUUCCUUUGUUUAGCCUAAGAUGGUAAAAAGCAUCUUGAGCCACAUCUUUCUUUGUGAACUCCUGUGUGUACUGUUAAAAAAUAAAAUUUAAAAAUUUAAAGAUCUUACUGACUUUAUUCAAUGAUUCAUGAGACAGGCAGCAUCACAUUUAGCAAAUAGAAUGAAGCUUUAAAGAGUAUGGGCAAGAGGAGGCAGCAAAGUGCUGAUUGUUUCAGGCGAGGCCACCUUUCUUUGGGGGAUUACCUCAUAGUAUGGACCAGGUAAUUCCACAGUGACUGGUUAAGAUUACAUUCCUGGGAGAAGCUGAAAUUGCAAUUAGGUUAGGUAUUAAGUCUUGCUUUAUUGAAAUGGGGUUAACACAAGUGACUCCAUUUUGGAUGUGUUGUUUUCUUUUUUUUAAACAGUAUGUGCAUAUUUAAAACUUUUUUUUCCUUGUUAACCUGUCUUUUUUCAGUUCAGUUCAUGGACCCCUGCAUUGAACCUAGGAGGGUAGUAGGAAAAUCAUUUUUCCUCCCCUCCCCUACCUGCUGUAGGGCAUUUAUAGUACAUGGCAUGCACCAUCUGUAUGCUAAUAGUACAUUUUUCUGGUUUUUAAUGAUAACCAGCCCUCUUCCUACCUUUCCAAAACUCCUCCCAGUGGGGUAAUUUCACCUCUAGUUGAGAAACAAUAAGGCAUUUUCUAUGCAUUUACUUUCUGGACAUGUUCUUUAGUUGUUUUUAAACAUUUUAAAUUGUUAGCAACAGGAUAAUCGUUUCAGUUCUCUUUUUUGGCAGGUGUGGGUAGAGGUCAUCAUUGUGUCUUAUCUGAAAAAUUCUUUUGUUUUGAAUUUAGUUUCUGGAGCCGCUGUUGUCAGCCUUAGCUUCAAGGAUUGGGCUCCAUGAAAAAACUGAAAAAGUGUUUACAACUAGAGUCAAUUUACUACUCUCACUAUUUAUACUUAGAACUACUAACUAAAUCCCUUCCUUUUCUCCAAAUUUUGGCUAUACCCAACUUCAACUUCCAUGUCUUGUCUUUUUUUUUUUAAAUUUUUUAAAUGUUUAUUAUUUAUUUUUGAGAGAGAG